GGUGCCUCUAGCUCUGUCAGUCGCGUAGGGCUCUAGCUCGCAACGCCCUUGCCUCGAUUCUGAUCCGCGGAAGGCGCAGCAACCGAAACCUGUGGCUCUGCAAAAACGUAGGUAACAACUGGGCGUGAGAACUACUGUAAAAACAAGUAGUCCUCAGUGGGUACCGCCCAAAACAAUAUCGGUCCACCCACUAAGUCUACAGAAGGGAGCAAGAGUAGUCAGAAAAGCAGGAAAAUAACUCUACCGCUACCGAUCACUACACUAUCAUGCUCUACACUAACCAACUGUAGGAAAUGUCAACUCGGACCCAAUCCAAUCGGGACUGUAAGCAUACCCGUCCCCGGGACUGUGAAUACACCCGUCCCUACCCCGUUGGGACUAUCGGGCUCCAUCCACACUAACUGAUCCGUGGAGAGCAAGUCCAACUGGCAUGAGCGACACCAACGUGAAAGCACAAAGCCUGACUCCGGAGUGGCACUCGUGGGCGCUACCCAACCGAGUAUGCAGCGUAUCUCUGUCGAGCUCAAACAGGCUCUGAAAAGCCAAAGUCAAGAAAUCGACUCUAACUGGUCUAACAACCAACAAGUAACGUGCCCUUGGCACAAUCAGUCGCCAAAAAGGCGAUACGGGUCCACCGUCAACCUCAACGGCACCCUACUAUCCGGAACAGCCUGAACGACCCUGUAAAAUUUCCUCGGCGAAACAGCACGAGUGUAGAUAUAUUCUAAACUACCUGAAAUACUCGUCUCGAAAAUACCGCGACAGUACAAUUUAAUAACGGCUCCUAGAGCUAAAUCAGGCAGUUUAAUCAAGUGACAGGUCCAAAUCGCAGGUUUUCUCCUAAUUCAAUUUUCAAGUCCAACAUGUAUAACCUAUUCAAUUUAUUACCACAUGCUCCAAAUUCAGAUAUGAAAUCUACCAUUUAAAUCAUGAAUUUGAGUUAGAAUAGAUUAUCCAAAAAUCGAAACUAUACAUAUCGACGAAUGUGAACUUAGG
rnacentral:lncRNA from 1 species